AUUAUAUCAUCCCCUGAUCUGGAGUCUUAUUAUUUGUUUAAAUGUUAUUGUUUGGACUUGAAUUGAUCGCUUCUGUUCAAUUUCAGGGUGAGCAUUUGCUGCAACACAGGGUGAAUUUUUACUUCUAUUGCCUUGAGGACAUUCAUUGGAAACAUCAUGUUGCACUUGAUGGAGACUCUCCUGAUGAAAAGGCAUCUUUAUGGUAAGAUAAUCUGGCAUAUAAGUGAAUCCCACCGGCUCACAACUUUGUAAGGCGCUGAAGAGGAUGAAGCUCCUUUUCCCUGGAAGACCAGUGUGUUUUUUUACAGAAUGUCUAAAGCUUUAUGACCCAAGAAUACCUUUCUCAAGGACCCAGGAGCUACUUCUUCGAAAUGCAAUCUUCAAGCGAGACAGAACCCCAUGUGUAUCUCCAGUUUCUUUGGGAAGGUAUGAGUCUCCCUCCUGUCAGAGCUCUAUGAGAAAGCUUACUUUCUCCUGGGUAAAGCUAGUUAGUAAACACAGAUGACCUGCGUUCUCUGUCUCACCCCCAUACUUAGAACUUCCCUGCCCUUCAAUUCCACAGAGUUGAGUUCAUUCAGAGUUCUGGCCUCUACCCUAUUGAAAUGGCCUUGAAUAAAGUCUUCCUUGUGUGUUUA